UUUAUGUCUCAUAUCUCUGUG
rnacentral:miRNA from 1 species